rnacentral:tRNA from 1 species
GCCAAGGUUGCAGAGUGGUCAAAUGCACCUGUCUGUAGAACAGGCUCCGUAAGGAUACCUAGGUUCGAAUCCUAGCCUUGGCA